AUCUAUGAUCUCUGUCCUCUCUCCAGUGCGUGGACACACUGAGUCUAACCAUGGGAUGGAACUGGAACUUUCUCUUCAUCCUGUCAGUAACUGCAGGUGUCCACUCUGAGGUUCAGCUACAGCAAUCAGGAGCUGAGUUGGUGAGUCCUGGGGCUUCAGUGAAGCUGUCCUGCAAGGCUUCUGGCUAUGACUUCAACAGCUACUACAUAAACUGGGUGAAGCAGAGUCAUGGAAAGAGCCUUGAGUGGAUUGGGAAUAUUCAUCCUUAUGAUAAUAAUUACAAUGAGAAGUUCAAGGGCAAGGCCACGUUGACUACAGACUCAUCCUCCAGCACAGCCUAUUUGGAGCUCAGCGGCAUGACAUCUGAAGACUCUGCGGUCUAUUUCUGUGCAAGACACAGUGUGGCAACCACAUCCUGA